rnacentral:lncRNA from 1 species
CUGAAAGACGCCUCCUGUGGAGCAGGCUACGACACAAAGAAAUGCUGCUAACACCAGAUGACCAACUCCUUUCCAGUUACGGACCAUCCCGGUGAUGAGACCUCCAUAUGUUGUCUGAUGGCCGCAGUUCCUUGGAAUGGAAACCCACACUGCUGUUGUGAAGACACCUGAUGAAACUCCAGCAACUUCUACAUCUGGCCUGCUGCUUAGUCCUGGGACCUGAGGUCAAAAUCUUAGAAAAGAGCCAUGUGAGAUGCAUUCCCUGGCCUCAUCUCUGUUCUUGGAUGCUGUCAGCAACACUCCUUGAGUUUUUACCCACAUAAUAACACUUUCCUCAGCAUGGAUGUGGAGGUGGGGUGCUCUGCAAAGGGUGGCUCUUACCCUCAGAUGGUCCAAAGGUAGUUUGGGGUGUGCAUGGAUCACCUUCACUCUUCAGAGGCGAACAGACAAUGCUGCUCUUCUCCAACAGCCUCUGAAGGACACCACCUACUGACUGGUUCUGAGAUGUUUGCUGCCCCAGAGUCUCCCACCUGCUUCUUCCUCCCCCUCAGUCCUUUUUUGUAGCCUCUCAGCCUCCCUUCUCUUAAUGCUCUUAGCACCCUUUCCUGGGUCUCUAUUUACCCUGCCCUCCCUUUCAGCAACUCCUUCCCAAACCACUGUGUACUUCUCCUUUCUUUCCAAUCCCUCCUCCCUUCCCAGCACUUUCGCCCUCCAUUGAAUCCCUCAAGCCUCAUUCUGGCCCCACUCCUCCCCUCACCCUCUAUCCCUGCUCUCCUCAGAUCUGCCAAACACCUCAGGCCUGGCUGCCUCUGUCCUGUUCCUACCAAUCUCCUGACCAUGCCUCUGUGCUCCUUGGGACCUGGGCUCACAUUUUCAAUCUCUUCUCUCCUAUUAGUACAGCUCUGUCUAGAGCCAUGGUUCUUCUCUACCUUUCACAGCUGUCUUCUUUCCCACUUAUAUG